rnacentral:rRNA from 1 species
AUUGAACGCUGGCGGCAUGCUUUACACAUGCAAGUCGAACGGUAACAGGCCGCAGGGUGCUGACGAGUGGCGAACGGGUGAGUAAUGCAUCAGAACGUGCCCAGUCGUGGGGGAUAACGCAGCGAAAGCUGCGCUAAUACCGCAUACGAUCUAUGGAUGAAAGCGGGGGACCGAAAGGCCUCGCGCGAAUGGAGCGGCCGAUGUCAGAUUAGGUAGUUGGUGCGGUAAAGGCUCACCAAGCCGACGAGCUGUAGCUGGUCUGAGAGGACGACCAGCCACACUGGGACGGGGACACGGCCCAGACUCCUACGGGAGGCAGCAGUGGGGAAUUUUGGACAAUGGGCGCAAGCCUGAUCCAGCAAUGCCGCGUGCAGGAAGAAGGCCUUCGGGUUGUAAACUGCUUUUGUACGGAACGAAAAGGCUCUGGUUAAUACCUGGGGCUCAUGACGGUACCGUAAGAAUAAGCACCGGCUAACUACGUGCCAGCCGCCGCCGUAAGAC